rnacentral:sRNA from 15 species
UAUUUGGCAUUUUCAUGAACAUUAUAAAUUCAGUGGAUGAUUUU